CAACCCUCGAGCCCCUCCGGGGGGUCGGCGUUGGGGAUCGGCCCUCCCUCGCGGGGGCCGGCCCCGAAAUGCAGUGGCGGUCUCGCCGCAGCCUCUCCUGCGCAGUAGUUUGCACAACUCGCACCGGGAGCGCGGCGGGCCCAUGCCGUGAAACAACCCAACCUUCUGAAA
rnacentral:misc_RNA from 1 species